GAGCGCGUUGUUAGCAAUUAUACCGUGAAACUGCGAAUGGCUCAUUAAAUCAGUUAUCGUUUAUUUGAUAAUACCUUACUACUUGGAUAACCGUGGUAAUUCUAGAGCUAAUACAUGCUGAAAAUCCCGACUUCGGAAGGGAUGUGUUUAUUAGAUAAAAAACCAAUGCCCUUCGGGGCUUUUUGGUGAUUCAUGAUAACUUUACGGAUCGCAUAGCCUUGCGCUGGCGACGGUUCAUUCAAAUUUCUGCCCUAUCAACUUUCGAUGGUAAGGUAUUGGCUUACCAUGGUUUCAACGGGUAACGGGGAAUUAGGGUUCGAUUCCGGAGAGGGAGCCUGAGAAACGGCUACCACAUCCAAGGAAGGCAGCAGGCGCGCAAAUUACCCAAUCCCGACACGGGGAGGUAGUGACAAUAAAUACUGAUACAGGGCUCUUUUGGGUCUUGUAAUUGGAAUGAGUACAAUUUAAACCUCUUAACGAGGAACAAUUGGAGGGCAAGUCUGGUGCCAGCAGCCGCGGUAAUUCCAGCUCCAAUAGCGUAUAUUAAAGUUGUUGCAGUUAAAAAGCUCGUAGUUGAAACUUGGGCCUGGCUGGCGGGUCCGCCUCACCGCGUGCACUCGUCCGGCCGGGCCUUCCUUCUGAAGAACCUCAUGCCCUUCACUGGGCGUGCUGGGGAAUCAGGACUUUUACUUUGAAAAAAUUAGAGUGUUCAAAGCAGGCCUUUGCUCGAAUACGUUAGCAUGGAAUAAUAAAAUAGGGCGUGCGUUUCUAUUUUGUUGGUUUCUAGAGACGCCGCAAUGAUUAACAGGAACAGUCGGGGGCAUCAGUAUUCAGUUGUCAGAGGUGAAAUUCUUGGAUUUACUGAAGACUAACUACUGCGAAAGCAUUUGCCAAGGAUGUUUUCAUUAAUCAGUGAACGAAAGUUAGGGGAUCGAAGACGAUCAGAUACCGUCGUAGUCUUAACCGAAACUAUGCCGACUAGGGGAUCGGGCGAUGUUCUUUUUCUGACUCGCUCGGACCUUACGAGAAAUCAAAGUUUUUGGGGUUCUGGGGGGGAUUAAGGGCCCAAG
rnacentral:rRNA from 1 species